CUUCAGUUGGUUCAGUCCCAUUGAUCUGAAUGAAUGAGAGACUCCGCAGCAACGCAUUCCUCUCCUCUGGAUCCCUUCUGCAGAGAUGAAGAUGAAGAUAAUGAUGAAGAUGAUGAAGUUUGUGGUGUUGUUGCUGCUGAUGGAGCGAGCUGCAGCUCAGCAGAGAGGGCUGUUCCCGGCCAUUCUGAACCUG